rnacentral:tRNA from 1 species
GGGGAGGUGGUUCAGUGGUAGAAUACAUACUUUGAAUGUGUGAAGUCCUGGGUAAGACUCCUGGCUCCUACU